AGCAGUGAGGAAUAUUGGGCAAUGCCCGAAAGGGUGACCCAGCAACGCCGCGUGGAGGAUGAAGUCCUUCUGGAUGUAAACUCCUUUUAGAGGGGACGAAAAGCCCGUUAAGACGGGAAUUGACGGUACCCUCAGAAAAAGCACCGGCUAACUACGUGCCAGCAGCCGCGGUAAUACGUAGGGUGCAAGCGUUGUCCGGAUUCACUGGGUGUAAAGGGUGCGCAGGCGGGCUCUUAAGUCAAAGGUGAAAUCUCACGGCUUAACCGUGAAAUUGCCUUUGAUACUGAGAGUCUUGAGUACGGGAGAGGGAGAUGGAAUUCCAGGUGUAGCGGUGAAAUGCGUAGAUAUCUGGAGGAACACCGGAGGCGAAGGCGGUCUCCUGGCCCGUUACUGACGCUCAUGCACGAAAGCGUGGGGAGCAAACAGGAUUAGAUACCCUGGUAGUCCACGCCCUAAACGAUGGGUACUAGAUGUCGGUCCCGAAAGGGGUCGGUGUCGAAGCUAACGCAUA
rnacentral:rRNA from 1 species